CCGAUAACCUAAAAAUUUAGUAAACAUUUUUAUUGGAAAAAAAUGCAUCGAUAACUGUCGAUAAGGGGGUGUGGGAAAUGGAAAUUAGUGGCUUUUUUGCUGUACUGUCUACUAGUUUUUGCUCUGGGUUCUAGCUGGAUCUCUUGUUUAAACAAUUUUAAUCGGCUGAAAGUGGUCUACAAAAAAAAACCAAGGAGGAAAUGUAUAGCCUUGUGGCUAUGAAAGGCAAAAGAGAGAUAUAAAAAGUGUAUUGGCUAGUUGGAAGAAAGUCCACAUUGUCCAUGCAUAAUAAGUUAUUACUUUAUCAACAAAUAUCAAGAAGAUAGCAGGAAUAAGUCACGAGCAACAACUUCAUAAGUUCAAGAAUAUUGAGGAAAUCCAGCUCCUCGAUACUACUGGGCAAACUAGAAGAUUGAAGAGGACAAAGCCUUUUGAACUAGUUUGAGUGAUAGGUGAUAGUGAAAAACGGAGCAUAGUGCUUGUGUGCUGUGCCUGUGUAUGUUAGAAUAGUGCACGAUCUUGUUAGAUUAGAUAAGAGACGCUAUGGGGUAAGCUCUUCAUUUUAAGAAACAGUAGUAAUUUAGGUUAAAUUAAAAUUGCUCAUUGGUCAGUUAUGACCAGAUUGUUUUUUUUAUGUUUGGCAAAAAGGGCUUAAGUCAGAAUUGCACAUUGAUAAUGUUUUGAUGAUUUCUGGACCAGAAAAAAACUGUUGUAGAUGUAAACUGUAUGUACAGUAGAAUCUACUACAGUACUGUAGAAAUCAUCAAAACAUUAUCGAUGUGCAAUUCUGACUUAAGCCCUUUUUCCCAAACAUCAGAGAAUUGUAAUGUACAAUAAUUCUCCUAUCUGCUUUUUCAUGAAUUUUGUAGGAGACGAAAAACCAUUUUUAGGAUCAUCUGCUUUCACAUGUAAAUUUUGACAUGUUUUGUAGUAAAUAGAUAGUUGAAUUUACUACAAAACAUGUCAAAAAAUAUAUGAAAACAGGAGGUGACUAUAAAAAAAGUUUUUAGUCUCUCUUACAAAACUCAUGAAAAACAAAUCGGAGAUAUGUCACAUCGGUGACUAUAUCCAGGGAAUGUCUAAAAAAUAUACUUUGAUGU